UGGGUAUGAAGUGGUACUAUCAGUGCUGGGUUUCGGUGUGAGGGAUGGGUGUGACAAGGCUUGCGACAGAGUGGCGUGGAACUUCCCUGGCUGUCAGUCAGAUUUUGACAGAAGGGCGGGGUAACAUACCGAAAGCAGAAGGUCUUGGUGUGGAAUGUGCAAGGUCUGCAAGCAGAUUAAAUAGAAGCCUUCUGGUGCAGUCCAAGUGCCAUGGUGAUAAAGAAAGAUCAGGGGAAGGAUCUGUACAUGUAAGAGAUUGCUCUAGAGUAGGGGUGUCCAACUUCUUGGCUUGCGUGAGCUGCAUUGAGUGAAGGGAAAUUGUCCUAGGCUGAUGUUUACGUUGUGGCUGAGGGGUGGGUGUGCACCUGAGGCUGGGCUGGGCCUCCCAGCACGGAAGAGCCACCGCCAUGAUGGCCUUACUUGCUGUGCUGGGCCCCAUGGGGCCUGCAGGCCGUGGGUUGGAUGCUUGUUCUAGAGUGUCUCUAAAGAUCUGUCAUUGAUUCUAACCCCUUUCCUCCUGCCAUAGUUGCCCUACUAGAGCUUUGCCCUGUACCAAAUUAGACUGACACGCCCACUAGUUAGCUACUGGCCUCACAAUAUUCCUCACAAAAUUCUGUGUUACAGCAGCAUGACAACCUCCUACAGCAGCCCUCAGGCUGGGUGCAGAGGAAGCUAGCAAGAAAGCUGCACAGCAACAGUGCUCUGAAGCAUUCAAAAUAAUGUUCAAUAAGCAAAACAUCCCCUUUCAACUCAAAGCACCUGGCCCGUCAACCUGGUGACUUGGGAAAACUGGGAUAAGAGCAGCAGUGAGUGUUACAGAUUAACAGCAACAGGUAGUUCCUGGCAGUAAGGCCAGGGGCUGGUAUUUACCUCUGCCACACUUUCACCUGUGAAGUUCUCUGAGCUUUAGGGGAAGAAGCUCCUUCUUUCAAGAACCUCUCUUAGUGUGACGAGGUGUUUGGCUUGUGUUAUUCUGUGCCACGCAAACAGCAGGGAUUGGAUUAUUAGUAGGGUUAAGAAUGAAGUAAAAAAGCAGCUCUGAAGGAGGAAGAAUGGAUUCAUGGUGACAGCAACAGCCUGGCGUGCUGGAUUCCUUGCUCUGCCCUGUGCAGCAGUUGCAGCAUGACCUGAGCGCGUGCCUUAUCUUCGGAUAAUACCUGAACCUCGCGGGGAGAACAGUAGACUUUGGGACCAGGACACACCUUUUCCGUCAGCAGCAUUUUGGCUGCCUACCAGCUGAAAUGGUAUGUCUGUGUCUGGAUGAGAUGGAGUGCAAUUUACAAAUUUCGUCCACAUGAUGGAUGUGGAAGAGAAACCAUGGUAGAUGGCAUCCAACCAGAAGCAAGCUGCAGUUUUGUUGUGAAUAUCCAGGAAGUCUCUGUGGUGCAGAUGUGACAGCAACAGCAAAACCUAUUUCAAAGUCCCAUGCCAUGAAGAAGCUGUACAGAAGAACUCCUUGCUGAAAUGCAACUAUCUCUGGGGUGGAGCGCUACUCUUUGACUCCUCUGCAGAAGCAAAACGGAUCUGUAGACAAAGAUGCAAAAUCACAAUGGGAUGAAGAGUGAACUUGGGAGUGAACUCUCUGGGAAGUACAUAAGAGGGAUCAGAGCUCAUUGCACGUGAACUGAACAGCAUUGAAGGAAUAAAACAACUUACAAGCUACAUCAGUCCUGGAAAACAAAAGCAUUUUACAAAAGAUUUCCUCUUGUUUGAGUUGUGAUGUCCAACUGUGAUCGAUAAUCACUUCUUAUCCUGGUUGUUUUGUUGCUUCUGAGACAUGAAGUUUUCACUUUGAGCUUGGUUAAAGAGCCAAAUGAGGGGAUGCAGCUGUGUCCAAAUUAACCCUUAGCUCAGCAGUAGAGUUUUCUCAGGCUGCUUUGAGAAGAAAAACAUAGUUAAAACAACAAAAAGUUUUCACUUUUGCCUCAGGGGCUGGAAACCUAUUUUUCAGGCAGCUUAACUUCUGUCAUUCUCAGUGCGUCUCUUCAAAUUAGCUGCAGACAGUGAAAUAAAUAGGAAAUAUUGCCCGAGAGUCCUUGGUUUUGUCAGAAAGGACUUUGAAAAAGUAGAGGAGAAGAAAAAGGGAGCCUGAAUCAUGAAGGCCUGCCGUGUCUUUUUGCUGAUACGAAAUCAAAACUGACUGAGGUUAUGGUCAUUCAAUUAUUACAAAAACCCGUGUACAAGAAAACCUGUAAUUUGAUGAUGCUGGGUUAAACAUUCUGGACAAGACGCAGUGUGAUCUUCCUCAUGUUUGAAUUCUAAGUUUCAGCAAAGGAAAAAUAAUGCCAGGUAAAUCUGGGAAAGAGAUUUCAUCAUGUUAUGGGAGAGGAGGGCACAACUAAGAAAUGGCACUGGUUUCUCCAUAAGCAUCCCUAACUGGUUCCUUUCAGAUGCUGGCAGCCCUGUAUCUUCUCUGCCUCAGGACACAGUGGCUAGGUGCCUCACAAGAGCUGCCCAUAAGAUGUCCAGGCCAAGCGUAUGAACAAUUUUUGGUGCAACUUUGAAGCUCUUUUGACUGGCAUAUGUACUGAGAUUUGCAAGGCUGUGUAUGUAGGGUAUCAUCCAAGCCCUGGUCAAUCCAUGAUGUCUUUCAGCUGCAGAAACUCAUACAUCUUAACCAUGACUCCAUUAAACAUCACUCCUUGGGCAGCAAGAGCUAUUUUGCCCAAGUAAAAGGCAAAUAUCUUCAUUUCUGGAUGUUUAUACCAGUGCCUGGUAGUGUCAGACACCCACCCAUGGCACAGAAGAAGCUCCUAAUUUAAUAUGGUGGUUAAGAAGAAUAAUUUCUGAUUCCAGCUCUUCACAAGCAGAAGCCUGACGUGACUCCCUGCCAACAGUCUGCUUCCAUUUUCACCCCAGAAUUUUAUUUUUUUCCCUCGUUCACAUACUUUCCUAAAUUGUCUUUGGUCCUGGGUAUUUAAAUUACAUGUUGACUCUGUGUUCUGUGAGUGGAUGAAUUAAACUGUUAUCAACAGGAGGAGCUUAUCUCCUCCUUUGUUCCACCUGGAGUUUGCUAAUACAUCCAUUACCUUUAUAUCACAGAAAACAAUUAACAGAGGUGUUUGUUGAUAAAAGAAUCAGUUUAUCUCGAUUGAAUGCUUGUAUCUCACAGCUCACCCUGCACACCUCAGAUCCAGAGUCCUGCGGCAGCUCCAAUAUUCUUUAGGAUGAAUGCAGAAGGUAUUCCCAUAAGAUAUUUCAUUUCAAAAAUUAUUUUUGGUUGGAAAACAUUUCUCACUUUCACUGUUGAUUUUUCCUCUAAACAUUAAACGAACACAAAAAAGCCUGAAAAGAGCAUGGAAAUACACAGACAAAAGAGAUCUGAUUCACGGCUUUGUCUAAUUUACACCUCCAGGAUAUUUAGUGAGACAUAAAGUGCAGUUCACAGCUCUCUCUGGAAUGUGAUGUAACUAUGAUUAACAUGUCUAAGUAUAGUAAUAGCGUGGAGGAGGAUGAUAAUAAUGGUGGCCACUGAUUCCCACCCCAUAGAAAGUACAAUCAGGAAAGGAACUGACUGUAGCAGGAUGAACCGUGUGCUAGAUUUAUUCCUCUCUCAGAGGUGAAAUAGGUCAAUAUUCUAUUAUAGUCCAAAUAUUAUUAACUUUCUUUCCCUAUAUAUUUUGGUAUUUCAUUGAAAAGCCCAGUGAAAAUCAAAAUCAAUCUUGGGAAAAAUGACUAUCUCAGCUGUAAUUUUAAAAGUUUCCUCGAUCUAUAUUUUCUUUUUCCCUUUUCCCCAGGGUUCCUUGCAUGUGUGCACUUUGCUUUCUCAACAGAAAGAAAAAGAGAAAACAAAAGUGGAGGAGGUGUUCAAGAACUGUGGGGAUGUGGCACUGAGGAACAUGGUCAGUGGGCAUGGUGGGUUGGAUGGGGGUUGGACUGGGUGAGCCUAGAGGUCUUUUCCAACCUUCGUUAUUCAAAAUGGAGGAAAAUAAAGUGGAUCCUGGUGCUUGUGGUUGUUUUCAUUGCAAAGAAAACGACGUCUUUCUCAAAAUAAGAUAUACAUUGUUGUUAUUAUUUAUUGCAGUACCAGCCCCUUUUUGACAAUAGCCACUCUGGAAAUGUGCGUCUUCCCUGAAGUUAUGCUGGGAAUUGUAUAUUCCAUCAUUUCUGUGGGUAUCUGAGCCCUUUCUUUGAUGUUUUCCUUUCUUUUCCCAAAGUGCCAGCCUGCAAGGGUAUUUUCUGGGUAGAGCAAAGCUUGUGGUAGGCAGCCCCAUGUAUUCAACCAGAACUGCUAUAAAUGUCUUCUCCCUUUGUUGUCACUGCUCUAACACAGAGCGCUCACCGCUUUAUGCUGCUUCUCUGACAGAAGAGAAACUGCAGCAAUGGAGAGGAAUUUCUUCUGUCUGUGGCCAAGGUUAAGGCAAUCUGUAGGAAAGAAUGAAAACGACACAGAGAAAGGAGCACCUCGUUUCAGCAAGGUCCGAACUGCUGUCUGCAACAUUUUGGAUGAUUCCGCACCUUCCCUGCUUUUAUUUUUUUCGUUGCAAGAGGUGUUCCUGUCAAAACCAGAACUCGAGGAGCUGAGCCUAUUGGUGCUACUCUGCCAUGCCCAAAGCCGCAGUUGUGAUUUCCCUGUCACUGGCUCGGGGCUGAACCAGGUGUAGGGGUCUGGGAGGUCCAGCACUGGAAAUGCUGGUGGGAAGCUGGGCUGAGAGGAAACCCAUUCCUUAUGGGGUGUUACAUGAACCUAGAGCUCUACAAAAAUCCACUGCAGAGACUGAGGGUUGGGAAUUAUUAGCAUGCAUCAAAAAGUCCAUAAGAAGCACAGCUACUUCACAGAUAAAAGGGCUGAAUUUGGGGGCUAAUGGUCAGUGCAGCGAAUAGAAGGGAAACAAAUAUUGCUGCAAACAAGAACUCAUUCCAGAGAGCAGCUUUUCUUCUUUCCCCAGCAUGUGUGUGGAAAUCUAUUUCACUGAAAAAUAAAGCUGUGAAUGCAUUAUUAAAAAGCAGAACAAUCUAUGUCUUAACCCCUUCAUUUCAAC